ensembl:lncRNA
CUACAGACUUUAAAAGUUUAUACUCCAUUUCCAGCACUUGAACUGUUGCUCCAGGAUUAAAGAGAUGCAGCUGAGAUCAGCACUCAUCAUUUUUUGUUUCAUAGACACAGCAGAUUCAGGGAGGUGAUCACUUUUCCUCACGGCCUCUGCAGUAGGCACUUGGUGGUCACACCAGGAUGUGCUGCUAGCUGCAUUUCCCUCCCAUUAGUGCUUCAGUGAUGUGAUCAGGGUGAGUUGGCUAGAAAGGACAUCUGCAGCAAUUUCACCUCAUCUGUGAGAGAGCUGAAGCUUUGAAGUGACUCAAGUACAUCAACAGAGCUGAACACAUGUCUACACGAGGCAGCUAGGCCUUCAGUCAGAGGACAAGGAGGAUGCCCAGGAACCAGAUGCGUGCUAUGGGGCUCCUUAACAUGGCCAAGAGAUUUAUGCUGCCAUGGAAUGCCAUAAGCUCCAUGACCAGAAUCUUCUGGGAGUGUCAGUCACAGCAACAGUCACAUCAGAACUAUGGUAAAGAAAGGCAGCACAUCUACAGCAAGAGGAAUCAAUUCAAGCAAAGCAGUUGUGACUGUUCUGCACAACAAAAGCAUAAACAAACCAAACUCAAAAGUAAAACAAGAAACAGAGAAGAAUCUAUACAGGACCAUGGACUGAUUUUGGUAGAAUUCAAUGGUAAACACAGAGAUAGGAUUAUACAGGAAACUAAGGAGUCUUUUCUCUAACAUGCAGACGGGAAGAGGCAAGGAUGCUAUUCUAUUUAAAAUUCACUUUAGAAGCCACAUAAAUUCAUCUGUUAGCUGCUUAAAUGUUUAUGUCUCUACUUUCACUAUAUUUAGUAUACACUUACAGAAAAUUACUUCGGUGGGUUCUUCUUCACCUUUGAACCACUUUAGGAAGUUGUCUGAGGACCUAUAUUGCAUGUGGUAGUCUGAGGUUGGCCCUGACCUUACACAGGCAGCUCAGUGUCACCCAGCUCCUCAUCACUGCUGCCAAACGGCUUCAAACAGAUCUCAGCUUGUGUUGCGUGUCCUAAUAUGAGAAGAUACAGAAAACAGGUAGAUCUUCCUGGGACAUAUUGAGAUGCAUUAGUCUGAUUGGCAGAGCAGCCUGAGAGGAGUUGUUAUGCUGAAAAGCCUUCUGAGACCAGCUCUUACUUCUCUCCUCAUCUUGCCCAUAAAUGACAAAUAUUCAACCAAAGAACUGCCCAGCAGAGAAAACUUCUGCUUUGUAAUUACUACUCACAUGAACUGUUGUGAUUGUGUCUGGAUGGCAAGUGACUUGAUUACAUCUUCAUGACACUGAAGUGCAAAUUGGUCUCAUAAAGGUCAGGAGUGCUCUCAUGCACCUUUCAUGUCUGGUAUGUGCUCUUCAUACUUGUUAUUCUUGUUUUCACAACAUACCCACUUAUCUUGCUGUCAGGAUACCUGUACUAGAGCCUUGGCACUGCCACCAGCGGCAACAUGGUACUGUCAACUUCUUCUCCCUUUCCUGUUGCUAAUGGAGCGUAAGAUGAACACAACAUUCCUAUGUGUUUAGGCAGUAACUUCACAAUGACUGAUUUUUUUAUAAUGCGUUUUUUUAACAUUAAUCAGUAGGAGCUAAAUUCAUCUUUACUGUUGCUGUACUGCAAGCAGUAACCUUGUGGCAGGCAUAAAUCUACCCUCUGUGCCCUUCUAAUGCUGAUAUUUAUUGGAUAGUCCUCUGUGAAUAUUGCAGUAUUUUUAUUUUGCUGUCAAUUCAACCUAAAUUGCAGUAUUUUUUAGAAAAAGCUGUGUUUAGCAUGAAUUGAUUUUUGUUGAGUAUCACAAGCUUGGAAGUUAUGAAGCAGUGACUUCUCAUUUGUAUGUAACAGAACAGAAAAGUAGCAGUUUUACCUCCUUUUAAACAAUACUGGUUUAAUUUGUCUUGUAUCUGUGUAGGCUGCAAUAAAAGUUCAGUUGUUCUAUAGAAAAGCA